rnacentral:rRNA from 1 species
GACGAACGCUGGCGGCGUGCUUAACACAUGCAAGUCGAACGGAAAGGCUCUGCUUUUGUGGGGUGCUCGAGUGGCGAACGGUUGAGUAACACGUGAGUAACCUGCCCUUGACUUUGGGAUAACUUCAGGAAACUGUGGCUAAUACCGGAUAGGAGCUCCUGCUGCAUGGUGGGGGUUGGAAAGUUUCGGCGGUUGUGGAUGGACUCGCGGCUUAUUGGUUUGUUGGUGGGGUACUGGCUUACCAAGGCUUUGACGGGUAGCCGGCCUGAGAGGGUGACCGGCCAAAGUGGGACUGAGAGAAGGCCCAGACUCCUACGGGAGGCAGCAGUGGGGAAUAUUGCACAAGGGGCGGAAGCCUGAGGCAGCAACGCCGCGGGCGGGAUGACGGCCUUCGGGUUGUAAACCGCUUUCGCCUGUGACGAAGAGUGAGUGACGGUAAUGGGUAAAGAAGCACCGGCUAACUACGUG